AACGAACGCUGGCGGCAUGCCUAAUACAUGCAAGUCGAACGAUCACUUCGGUGAUAGUGGCGCACGGGUGCGUAACGCGUGGGAAUCUGCCCUUGGGUUCGGAAUAACAGCUGGAAACGGCUGCUAAUACCGGAUGAUGACGUAAGUCCAAAGAUUUAUCGCCCAGGGAUGAGCCCGCGUAGGAUUAGGUAGUUGGUGGGGUAAAGGCCUACCAAGCCUACGAUCCUUAGCUGGUCUGAGAGGAUGAUCAGCCACACUGGGACUGAGACACGGCCCAGACUCCUACGGGAGGCAGCAGUAGGGAAUAUUGGACAAUGGGGGCAACCCUGAUCCAGCAAUGCCGCGUGAGUGAUGAAGGCCUUAGGGUUGUAAAGCUCUUUUACCCGGGAUGACAAUGACAGUACCGGGAGAAUAAGCCCCGGCUAACUCCGUGCCAGCCGCCGCGGUAA
rnacentral:rRNA from 1 species